rnacentral:rRNA from 1 species
CAAACGAUGUUCACUGGGUGUCGGUCACUCAUAUAGAUCGGUGCCGGAGCUAACGCAUUAAGUGAACCGCCUGGGGAGUACGGCCGCAAGGCUAAAACUCAAGAGAAUUGACGGGUCCCUGCACAAGCGGUGGAGCACGUGGUUUAAUUCGAUGAUAAGCGAAGAACCUCACCUGGGCUUGACAUAUUAGUGGUAGGAACCUGAAAGGGUAACGACCUUUCCCUUCGGGGUUGGGAGCUAGUACAGGUGAUGCAUGGCUGUCGUCAGCUCGUGUCGUGGGACGUAGGGUUAAGUCCCGAAACGAGCGCAACCCUUGUCGUUAGUUGCCAGCGGGUAAUGCCGGGGACUCUAACGAGACUGCUGGUGAAUAGCCGGAGGAAGGAGGGGAUGACGUCAAGUCAUCAUGUCCCUUAUGCCCAGGGCGACACACAUGCUACAAUGGGAGGUACAAAGGGUCGCAAUACCGUAAGGUGGAGCCAAUCCAUAAAAACCUUCCUUAGUUCGGAUUGAGGUCUGCAACUCGACCUCAUGAAGCCGGAAUCGCUAGUAAUCGCAGGUCAGCCACACUGCGGUGAAUAUGUACUCGGGGAUUGUACACACCGCCCGUCACACCAACCGAGUGGGGGGUACUUGAAGUCGUUCUAUCAAAGAGCGCCGAGGGUAACCUCCGCAAGAGGGGUGAAGUCGUAACAAGGUAACCAAGGGCGAA